rnacentral:rRNA from 1 species
CCCUUAGAUGUUCUGGGCCGCACGCGCGCUACACUGAUGCAUUCAACGAGUCUAAAACCUGCUCUGAUAGGGGUGGGUAAUCUUUUGAAUGUGCAUCGUGAUUGGGAUAGAUGAUUGCAAUUUUUCAUCUUCGACGAGGAAUGCCUAGUAAACGCAAGUCAUCAGCUUGCAUUGAUUACGUCCCUGCCCUUUGUACACACCGCCCGUCGCUCCUACCGAUUGAAUGAUCCGAUGAAUAUCAUGGAUUGAGGAUGCAAGCAGGUUCGCCUGUCUUCAUCUUCGAGAAGUGAAGUAAAUCUUAUCAUUUAGAGGAAGGAGAAGUCGUAACA